AUGGCGCCUGUGCUUGGCUUAGCCACAGUCACCGGCCACGUUUUCAAACUUUUCUCCACUAACCUCCUCUUUUCCACCUUUCUCCUGUCUGCUAUCCUCUUUAGUAGUGUCCCUGCUACCAUCUCCUAUGAUCGCCAGACUCCUUUGUCCUUCCGUUCGUUCAUGAUUGCCCAAGAUGCACCGAGGACGUACCUCCCUGAGUGGCGCACUGGCCCGGAGCCAAACGACGAUUCCAGCCAGAGCGCCUGCAGCGAUGUUUAUCCGGUCCUGGGAAAACGUCGGAUUAAAAGAGGUAAACAAGCAGGAAGUGAUCUUCUAGCUUCUUGUCCUUUGUUUGGCGACUUGAGCGCCACUUCCGCAUUACCGCCAGGCCGUAGUGCUGCGCAGUUUCUCCAUCCAAGUUUUUUAAGGUCGGUUUAUCCUCAUUCCUCAGUGGUUUCUCCUCCUGUUCCCUCCAUAAGUGGUUUUUAUAAACACCGUGGAUCCAACCCUGCUAAUUUUCAUCCACUAACUCCAGCUGUUUCUGUAGUUUCUGAUUCCUCCACCUCACUCAGCACAGCUCUAUUAAAUACCCGCUCUGUUAACAAUAACUCCUUCUGGGUCAGGGAUUUUAAGAUUUUUGGCAUCUGCCUGACCAAUCCCGGUGGCUGCCUGGUGGGGUCUGGGUCCCCGGCGGGGGUGGUCACCCCUGGGUCCCGGGUCGCUGGGUCCCGGGCUCGACCAUCUAGAGGGUGGGAGGCUGCGGGCGGGCCUGAGGGCUUGCCGCCGAUAUCUCCCGGGACUCUGCCGGCUGCUGGUUGUGGCCCCCCGGGGCGGUCCUCUGCGCCUCUUGAGGGGGACGGGGGCUUUUCUGAUCGCAGUCUCCCUGGGGUUCCUGUGCUCUGGGGCAGCUCCUGGAUCUCUGGGACUUGGAGCUCCCUCCGUCUCCUGCACAUCUUUAGGGGCCAGAUCUGUGGCCCCUCACACUCUAUUGGACGCUCCUAUAGAGAAACCUUACAUAAACAAGCGCAUGUACACACACAGGUGCUCACAUGGUGCUCUCAUAAGUAUGGACUUAGGCACGUUCAACACAUGUCUUAA
rnacentral:lncRNA from 1 species